AAAAAAACGAAAAAAGUGACAUGGUGCAUAAAGUGUCUAUUUUACUGCGGAUUCUGGUAGUGGGCCAGCGCCGGAUCAUUGGCCGCCUUAUCCGUAAUAAUGCUCUGUUUGGAAACAACAACGCAGAGAAUCGAGAGAAAUGGAUGUAGUUCCGACGGGUUCUGACCAAGAGCGUGAAGAAUGCCUGUAAAUUUCACGUGAGGGAACCAGUCCGGCACCGGUAUUUGGUGGCACCAGCCCACCUGCGUUCGGUGGUUCCAUUGUGGGCGCAACAUAUACGGCUGCUGACUUUGAAGUAUCGCUAAUUUUUGGUGCCGACCCCGAAUCGUUAGCCACAGCCACAUUCAUGCGCCCUAUUUGGUACCGCUUCCACGGUUACAUCGCUUAUUGGUGGGAUCAUUUCAACACCGGCAGCAUGAGUACAAGAAAUACGGAAACGAAUCGUGGCUAGAAAUCGUACAUAUUUUGGACCCUGCCACUUUGGACUGAGUAAUUUUAAAUUAUAUAAAUUUUACAACACUUUGUUGUUUUACAAUUUAUUUUAUUAACAGGGAAAAUUUACAUUUCUUGUGAGAUGCAAAAAAUGAUUUUAACGAUUAAAAAAUAUCAUCGCCCUUUUGUGCUUUUGUGAUAUCUAUUCAAUAUCACAAAGUGCAAUGAUGUAUUGCAAAGUGAAUCAUUUUUUUUUUUGCAUUUCACAAGAUAUGUGAUUUUUUCCUCUGUUAGUAAAAUAAAUUGUAAACACUAAAUUGUAUUGUAUUUUUAUUGUAAUACUGAAGUGAAUUUUAAUCUAAAACCUGUUGUACU